rnacentral:rRNA from 1 species
UACGUGAGGUGACAAGCGUUAUCCGGAAUACUGGGCGUAAAGCGCACGCAGGCGGCUGCGUUAAGUCGUGACGUGAAAUCUCCCGGCUUAACCGGGAGCGGUCGUUGGAAACGUAUGCGGCUUGAGGCGAUGAGAGGGGUGUGGAAUUCCCGGUGUAAGUGGUGGAAUGCGUAGAUAAUCGGGAGGAACAUCAGGUGGCGAAAGCGGCACCCUGGCAUUAGCCUGACGCUCAGGUGGCGAAAGCGUGGGAGC